UAUAUCCAGCUGCAGACCCGCAGCACCACCAGUUUCAGAACCCCAGCGCCAGAACCUGAAGUGAGGGGCGGAGUUAUUGACAAUGAGACAAGCAUGGCGGAGAGCAUGUGCGACUUUCCAAACAUAUGGAGAUGGUGGGCUCUUAUUCUUCUGGAGAACUUUGGGGUUUUCUCUGAAAGGAGCUCCCAAUAAUCCGGCACAUGAAAGAAGCUGUGAAAUGGCUCCAUUCCAACAGCCAUCUGCUCAGAGGUCCAGUGGAAGAGCC